rnacentral:rRNA from 1 species
UGCCAGCAGCCGCGGUAAUACGGAGGGGGCAAGCGUUAUUCGGAUUUACUGGGCGUAAAGGGCGUGUAGGCGGCUUGAUAGGUCAAAGGUGAAAGCCCUCGGCUCAACCGAGGAACUGCCUUUGAAACCAUCUGGCUCGAGGCCGGGAGGGGGUAGUGGAAUUCCUGGUGUAGCGGUGAAAUGCGUAGAUAUCAGGAGGAACACCAGUGGCGAAGGCGGCUACCUGGACCGGUUCUGACGCUGAGGCGCGAAAGCGUGGGGAGCAAACAGGAUUAGAUA